rnacentral:tRNA from 1 species
UUAGGGAGACCUAAACCCCUCAAUACCGAACAAAAGUAAUUAGGUAAGAGAAAGGGUCAGACCUAGGUCGGUCGAGGAUUAGAAGCAGGCUUUCAAACUCAACUUCGGUUCGGAGGUAUGGGCUAUUAGCUCAGGUGGUUAGAGCGCACCCCUGAUAAGGGUGAGGUCCCUGGUUCGAGUCCAGGAUGGCCCACCUAAACCCAAAAGAACCUUGAAAAAGGGAAAAUGGGGGUAUAGCUCAGUUGGUAGAGCGCUGCCUUUGCAAGGCAGAUGUCAGCGGUUCGAGUCCGCUUACCUCCWGUGGAGGAAAAAUAAGAAUCAGCACCUCAUCAAUCAUCAAAAUGAAAUGAGACUGCUGGUAGUCUUACCAGCCAGAACCUUGAAAAGUGCAUAGCAAUAAGUCUUAAAAAGUCUAGGGAAAAAGAUCAAACAGACAUUGAUAUU